GCUUCGCAUCGAGUGGCGUUACGACGCGUUAAUUAGUGAGUAAAAUCAUAUUCAGCCGCGCGAUUUUAUACUUCUCGAUGACAGAAAAGUAGGACCGUGUCGUGGUGAGUGAAUUCGUGAAUGUAAUUGUGCAUUUUUCUGAUGGUCGGCGCAUUAUAACCUUCGAGUGCGAGUCUUUGCAUUGUCCUUCGCCAUUUCGAGAGUCAAUGCCAAAAGAAGACGAGCAGAGAAGGUGGAGGAGCAAUCCUUGAGACGAGUGAAGAAAGAGAGGAGGAAGAGAGGUAUUGGAGCAACUGUUGAG